rnacentral:rRNA from 1 species
CACGUGGGGGGCGAGCGUUGUCCGGAUUUAUUGGGCGUAAAGAGCUCGUAGGCGGCUCAGUAAGUCGGGUGUGAAAACUCCAGGCUCAACCUGGAGACGCCACCUGAUACUGCUGUAGCUAGAGUCCGGUAGGAGAGCAUGGAAUUCCUGGUAUAGCGGUGAAAUGCGCAGAUAUCAGGAGGAACACCAGUGGCGAAGGCGAUGCUCUGGGCCGGAACUGACGCUGAGGAACGAAAGCGUAGGAAGCAAACAGG